rnacentral:rRNA from 1 species
AGAGUUUGAUCAUGGCUCAGAGUGAACGCUGGCGGCGUGCUUAACACAUGCAAGUCGAACGAUGAAACCCUGCUUGCAGGGUGGAUUAGUGGCGAACGGGUGAGUAAUAUAUAGCUAACCUGCCCCUUAGAGAGGGACAACAGUUGGAAACGACUGCUAAUACCUCAUACUCCUUCUUACCAUAAGGUAAGUUGGGAAACGCUCCGGCGCUAAGGGAUGGGGCUUUACGGUAUCAGGUAGUUGGUGGGGUAAAAGCCUACCAAGCCGACGAUGGGUAGCCGGCCUGAGAGGGUGAACGGCCACAAGGGGACUGAGACACGGCCCUUACUCCUACGGGAGGCAGCAGUGGGGAAUAUUGGACAAUGGACCAAAAGUCUGAUCCAGCAAUUCUGUGUGCACGAUGAAGGUCUUCGGAUUGUAAAGUGCUUUCAGUGGGGAAGAAGAAAGUGACGGUACCCACAGAAGAAGCGACGGCUAAAUACGUGCCAGCAGCCGCGGUAAUACGUAUGUCGCAAGCGUUAUCCGGAAUUAUUGGGCGUAAAGCGAGUCUAGGCGGCUUGUUAAGUCAGAUGUGAAAAUGCGGGGCUCAACUCCGUAUUGCGUUUGAAACUGGCAGGCUAGAGUACUGGAGAGGUGGGCGGAACUACAAGUGUAGAGGUGAAAUUCGUAGAUAUUUGUAGGAAUGCCGAUAGUGAAGACAGCUCACUGGACAGAUACUGACGCUAAAGCUCGAAAGCGUGGGGAGCAAACAGGAUUAGAUACCCUGGUAGUCCACGCCCUAAACGAUGCACACUAGUUGUUGCUAUGCUAGACAUAGCAGUAAUGCAGUUAACACAUUAAGUGUGCCGCCUGGGGAGUACGGUCGCAAGAUUAAAACUCAAAGGAAUAGACGGGGACCCGCACAAGCGGUGGAGCAUGUGGUUUAAUUCGACGAUACGCGAAGAACCUUACCUGGACUUGACAUAGAAAGAAUUACGCAGAGAUGUAUAAGUGCUAGCUUGCUAGAACUUUCAUACAGGUGCUGCACGGCUGUCGUCAGCUCGUGUCGUGAGAUGUUGGGUUAAGUCCCGCAACGAGCGCAACCCUCGUGUUUAGUUGCUAACAGUUCGGCUGAGAACUCUAAACAGACUGCCUGGGUAACCAGGAGGAAGGUGAGGACGACGUCAAGUCAUCAUGGCCCUUAUGUCCAGGGCUACACACGUGCUACAAUGGGGCAUACAAAGAGCCGCGAUACCGUGAGGUGGAGCAAAUCUGUUAAAAUGCCUCCCAGUUCGGAUAGCACUCUGCAACUCGAGUGCUUGAAGUUGGAAUCGCUAGUAAUCGUAGAUCAGCAAUGCUACGGUGAAUACGUUCCCGGGUCUUGUACUCACCGCCCGUCACACCAUGGGAAUUGAAUUCAUUCGAAGCGGGGAUGCUAAAAUAGCUUCCUUCCACAGUGGAUUUAGUAACUGGGGGAAGUGU